rnacentral:lncRNA from 1 species
GCGUUUCCAGUGAGAUAAAUAGAACCUAUCCAUCCCACUGAUAAUAACGUAUGUUAAAAAAAUAAUAGUAAUAAACACACUAGAUAUAGAGGAAAUACCAUUGAUUGGAUAGAUUUCCUUUAAUCAAUAUUUUAUUUCUGGAGUGUGCUUUUAAUUUCUCAAAGUGCUUUUACAUAUAUUAUCUCAUUUGAUUUACAUAAUGCUUCUAUGUAGCAGGAAGCAGGCAUUUCAUUUUGUAUCACAGAUGGAGAAACCAAGGCUAUUAGUUCAGGGGAUGUGGUGGCCUUGCUAGAGGUCAGACCUCAGACUUCUGCGUCUCCAACCUGUGCCUCUUCCACACCCUGACCCUGUCCCUCUUCAAAAGUCUCACCCUACACUGGGCAAAAACGUGCGUUUUUAUUAACUUGGCAUCAGGGACUGGACCACGGAAAACUGCAUAGAUGAAUUUCUUGUGUCACUGCCCAGAAUUUCUUGUGUCUCGCUGUCUCUCUUUCUCUUCCAUAAUGUGAAAAAAAAUUUUUUUUGCCUUCUCCUGGCCCUUUAAAGUUGUUUCCGCAGAAGGAGAUAUAGAGCCACUCUAGAUUGCAUUUCAGGGUUGGUCGCUGGAGCGGGAAAGGUGACCACGGCAGCUCAGGGGGCCAUCUAUUUUAAUCCGGUGGCACAUGCUCAGGAGAAGGAUCACCCCUGGAAGCAGGAAGAUUCAAGUUCCAGGGAGCACACAUGGGCCGACAGGGAUGACUUUCCCAGUGCGGGUUCCCACUCAAACUCAGAAUGUCUAUUGUCUUAUUGCUUCAGUUGUGGCCAAGGUCUGAGCUGCUGCCUGGGUCUCACUCUUUAGAAACCCCAGCCAUGCCCGCAAGUGGCCCGACUGUGGCUGCACCGAGAAUCUUUGUGCAAGAUUCUGCAUAGUGUAUAGAAAACCGGAAUCCGGUUGCCCAAGUCACAUGCCAGACAAAGCCCCCAGGGUCACUGCUAAAUGUCCAUCGACAGAUGAAUGGAUUAAGAAGAUGUGGUACAUAUACACAAUGGAAUACUACUCAGCCAUAAAAAGAAAAAAAUAAUGCCAUUUGCAACAACAUGGAUGGAGCUAGAGACUCUCAUACUAAGUGAAGUAAGUCAGAAAGAGAAAGACAAAUACCAUAUGGUAUCACUUAUAUCUGGAAUCUAAUAUAUGGCACAAAUAAACCUUUCCACAGAAAAGAAACUCAUGGACUUGGAGAGCAGACUUGUGGUUGCCAAGGGGGCGGGGGAGGGAGUGGGAUGGACUGGAAAUCUGGGGCUAAUAGAUGCAAACUAUUGCCUUUGGAAUGGACAAGCAAUGAGAUCCUGCUGCAUAGCACUGGGACUAUAUAGCACUGGAACUAUAUCUAGUCAUUUAUGAUGGAGCAUGAUGGAGGAUAAUGCAAGAAAGAGAAUAUAUAUAUGUAUGUGUGACUGGGUUACUUUGCUGCGCAGCAGAAAACUGAGAGAAUGCUGUAAACCAACUCUAAUGGAAAAAAUAAAAAUCAUUUAAAG